GGAGGAGGAAAUAUUUGCAUUGACCUCAUCAAAAUCCGGGGUAUAAAUAGGCUGGGGAGUGUGAGGCUUCCUCAGCUCCCAGGUGCAGGUGUGGGAAGCAGAGACACCAAGGUGGAUCAUGGCAACUUCCCUCCUCUUGGCACAGCUCCUGCUCCUGGGGACACUGGCUGUCCCAGCACAAGCACAGACAGAAUCCAAGUGUGCCCAGCUCGGGAAUGCGACUGAAGGCAACUUCUCUGUGACAGUGACCCCUGGGGUGUACCAGGCAAACACCACCUACCUAGUGACAAUCGAGGCCCAAAACAGCACCGACAACAAGCCCACGCAGUUCGUGCUGCAAGCCCUGUCCCCAGGGAACGAGUCCCUGGGGCAGUGGGAGGGGAUAACCCCGGAGAGCUGCAGCUCUGUGGACUCAGCAAUACUGAACAGCACCCAGAAUGCAGCCAACUGGACAUCUCCAGGCACAAACGUGUCCUCUGUGCAGAUAAGGGCAUACAUCAUCUUCACUAAUAGUUCCACCCAGUUCAAGACUGUGACUCUCACCACAGCAGCAGAAACAACCACAUCAACACCCACCAGCACCCCCAGCUCGGUGUCCACAGUUCGGGGCAGCUCCCUGUUCAUCGCUGUGCUCCAGCUGCCCCUGCUCCUGGCCACGGGCAAGCUGCUCUCCUAGAGGCCAGGGGAGAAGAUGGCCCAGGCUGUGCUGCCCUUUCCCUCCCUGGGGGUGGGAGGGCAGGCAGCUGAUCUACUCAGGAAAUGUUUCUGUGUGUUAGGAUGGUAACUGCACUCCAAACAUUAAAUUAUGAAGGUCUGUUUGAGCACCAGGCUGAUCCUCCCCUCACUCCCCUCCCUCAGGGCCAGCAAGCUCAGCCAGGUGAGAUGUUCCAGAGCAGGGCACAGAUCCCUCUGCCCU
rnacentral:lncRNA from 1 species